AUUGACAUCUUACCCGACAGCAUUAGACUUGUUAUGCAUUCUCUAAUACUGUCUGGUAAUGAUGUUAAU
ncrna:Saccoglossus kowalevskii microRNA sko-mir-200 precursor